rnacentral:rRNA from 1 species
AGAGUUGAUCCUGGCUCAGAACGAACGCUGGCGGCGCGUUUAAGCAUGCAAGUCGAGCGGCAAGGGCCUUCGGGCCCCUAGAGCGGCGGACGGGUGAGUAACACGUGGACAAUCUGCCCCCCGGCCCGGGAUAGCCCAGGGAAACCUGGAUUAAUACCGGAUGAGACGGGACCCGCGAUGGCGGGACCCGGGAAAGGCGCUGCGGCGCCGCCGGGGGAUGAGUCUGCGUCCCAUUAGCUAGACGGCGGGGUAACGGCCCACCGUGGCGACGAUGGGUAGCCGGCCUGAGAGGGUGGACGGCCACAUUGGAACUGAGACACGGUCCAGACUCCUACGGGAGGCAGCAGCUAAGAAUCUUCCGCAAUGGGCGAAAGCCUGACGGAGCCGACGCCGCGUGAACGAAGAAGGCCGUGAGGUUGUAAAGUUCUUUUCGGGAGGGGGAACAACCGUGGCAGGGAAUGGCCGCGGGAUGACGUGAAUCCCGGAAUAAGCCCCGGCUAACUACGUGCCAGCCGCCGC